ACUAUUUUGACAGAUUAAUGUAUUGAAUUUAGAAUUCAUUUAUGUGGAUAUAUUUCACAAAUAGUA
rnacentral:tRNA from 1 species